UAGUAAGAAGCAAAUUUUGCAUUUAGUUUCGACCUAAAAUUGUAGUUUAUAUAAACUCUACUAU
rnacentral:tRNA from 1 species